rnacentral:rRNA from 1 species
AUUGAACGCUGGCGGAAUGCUUUACACAUGCAAGUCGAACGGCAGCACGGGGGCAACCCUGGUGGCGAGUGGCGAACGGGUGAGUAAUACAUCGGAACGUGCCCAGUCGUGGGGGAUAACGUAGCGAAAGCUACGCUAAUACCGCAUACGAUCUCUGGAUGAAAGCGGGGGACCGCAAGGCCUCGCGCGAUUGGAGCGGCCGAUGGCAGAUUAGGUAGUUGGUGGGGUAAAGGUUCACCAAGCCGACGAUCUGUAGCUGGUCUGAGAGGACGACCAGCCACACUGGGACUGAGACACGGCCCAGACUCCUACGGGAGGCAGCAGUGGGGAAUUUUGGACAAUGGGCGAAAGCCUGAUCCAGCCAUUCCGCGUGCAGGAUGAAGGCCCUCGGGUUGUGAACUGCUUUUGUACGGAACGAAAAGGCUCUUUCUAAUACAGAGGGCUCAUGACGGUACCGUAAGAAUAAGCACCGGCUAACUACGUGCCAGCCGCCGCGGUAAGAC